rnacentral:miRNA from 1 species
UACGUGUGUGUGUGUGUAUACAUGUUUGUGUGUAUACAUACACAUGCACACACACACACACACACA